rnacentral:rRNA from 1 species
GCCGGGGGGGCGGUGCUUACACAUGCAGUCGAACGAUGAACCUCCUUCGGGAGGGGAUUAGUGGCGAACGGGUGAGUAACACGUGGGCAAUCUGCCCUGCACUCUGGGACAAGCCCUGGAAACGGGGUCUAAUACCGGAUACGACCACUGAGGGCAUCCUCGGUGGUGGAAAGCUCCGGCGGUGCAGGAUGAGCCCGCGGCCUAUCAGCUUGUUGGUGGGGUGAUGGCCUACCAAGGCGACGACGGGUAGCCGGCCUGAGAGGGCGACCGGCCACACUGGGACUGAGACACGGCCCAGACUCCUACGGGAGGCAGCAGUGGGGAAUAUUGCACAAUGGGCGAAAGCCUGAUGCAGCGACGCCGCGUGAGGGAUGACGGCCUUCGGGUUGUAAACCUCUUUCAGCAGGGAAGAAGCGAAAGUGACGGUACCUGCAGAAGAAGCGCCGGCUAACUACGUGCCAGCAGCCGCGGUAAU